CUGUAUACAAGGUAUUCAACAUAAGGACUUAUGCUUUCUGAAAUAUAAAGCUUUAUACAACUAGCUUGCAGUGUGCUUUUUGCACAUUGCCAAAGGUUGUACAAUGCCCUUAUCCAAUUUUACUUUUUGUAAGAUGACCUAUAUUUACAUGAACUUAAAAUCUUGUUUCUGCAUUAAAAAGAUUCAAAAUUGACAACCAGAGCAUUCUGAAC
rnacentral:lncRNA from 1 species